rnacentral:rRNA from 1 species
UACGGAGGUGGCAAGCGUUGUUCGGAAUUACUGGGCGUAAAGGGCGCGUAGGCGGCUAGGCAAGUCAGGUGUGAAAGCCCCGAGCUUAACUCGGGAAUUGCAUCUGAAACUGCUGUGCUUGAGUUCUGGAGGGGGUAGUGGAAUUCCCAGUGUAGCGGUGAAAUGCGUAGAUAUUGGGAGGAACACCUGCGGCGAAGGCGGCUACCUGGACAGAAACUGACGCUGAGACGCGAAAGCGUGGGGAGCAAACAGG